UUUAGUAUUAUUUUAUCAAGAUUCAAGUAAAUCAAACAAUUUCAUUAUUUUUUUCUUGUUAGGCGGACGGAUACACAGAUACGGGGUGCUACAACCUCCUUUGUGAUGGUUUUGUGCACACAACAUCAAAUGUCUCCCUUGGUUGCAGUUUUAGUGAUGUGUCCACUUUCAAUAGGAGCCAAAAAGAUGUCACAUUCAGUAUUCACAAGGACCAACGUAGUGGACACUGGUGGGUGCAAUUACAAAGUAUUACGAUCGUUUAUUAUCCAAGUUAUCUUUUCGAUGAAUUAUCAAAGAAAGCAACAAGAGUAGAUUUGGGUGGAGAAAUCAUUGAUAGGAAUGAAGAACGGCAUACUUCGACUCAAAUGGGUUGUGACAUAUAUUGAUCCAACAAAUGCAAAACCGCUUGGUUGGGAUACGUCAGGAUACUAUAAAAUGCCUCCGGGAAUAAAAGAUCCAAAGGAAGCAAUUGUUUGGGCUAAAGAGACUGCUCUUAAG